AUUGAACGCUGGCGGCAGGCCUAACACAUGCAAGUCGAGCGGAUGAGGAGAGCUUGCUCUCUGAUUUAGCAGCGGACGGGUGAGUAAUGCCUAGGAAUCUGCCUGGUAGUGGGGGAUAACGUUCCGAAAGGAACGCUAAUACCGCAUACGUCCUACGGGAGAAAGCAGGGGACCUUCGGGCCUUGCGCUAUCAGAUGAGCCUAGGUCGGAUUAGCUAGUUGGUGAGGUAAUGGCUCACCAAGGCGACGAUCCGUAACUGGUCUGAGAGGAUGAUCAGGCACACUGGAACUGAGACACGGUCCAGACUCCUACGGGAGGCAGCAGUGGGGAAGAUUGGACAAUGGGCGAAAGCCUGAUCCAGCCAUGCCGCGUGUGUGAAGAAGGUCUUCGGAUUGUAAAGCACUUUAAGUUGGGAGGAAGGGUUGUAGAUUAAUACUCUGCAAUUUUGACGUUACCAACAGAAUAAGCACCGGCUAACUUCGUGCCAGCCGCCGCCGUAAGAC
rnacentral:rRNA from 1 species